rnacentral:rRNA from 1 species
GAUGAACGCUAGCGGCAGGCCUAAUACAUGCAAGUCGAACGGUGUAGCAAUACAUAGUGGCGCACGGGUGCGUAACACGUAUGCAACCUACCUUAUACUGGGGGAUAGCCUUUGGAAACGGAGAUUAAUACCCCAUAGUACAUUUAGAUGGCAUCAUUUGCAUGUUAAAGAUUUAUCGGUAUAAGCUGGGCAUGCAUCCAAUUAGUUAGUUGGUGAGGUAACGGCUCACCAAGACUUUGAUUGGUAGGGGAACUGAGAGGUUAACCCCCCACACUGGCACUGAGAUACGGGCCAGACUCCUACGGGAGGCAGCAGUAGGGAAUAUUGGGCAAUGGAGGCAACUCUGACCCAGCCAUGCCGCGUGCAGGAGGAAGGCGUUAUGCGUUGUAAACUGCUUUUAUAUAGGAAGAAAUAGUCCUCGCGAGGAAAGUUGACGGUACCUGACCAGAAAGCCACGGCUAACUACGUGCCAGCCGCCGCCGUAA